GAGUUUGAUCCUGGCUCAGAAUGAACGUUGGCGGCAUGGAUUAGGCAUGCAAGUCGAGCGAGAAGCUUUAGUUUGACGCUUCGGUUGAUUUCUAAAGUGGACAGCGGCGCAAGGGAGAGUAACGCGUAGUUAUCUACCCCGAGGUCCGGAAUAGCUGAGGGAAACUUCAGGUAAUGCCGGAUAAUAUCCCCGGAUCAAAGGUGUGAUUCCGCCUUGGGAGGAGACUGCGUUGUACUAGCUUGUUGGUGGGGUAAUGGCCUACCAAGGCGAUGAUGCAUAGCGGGCGUGAGAGCGUGGCCCGUCUCACUGGGACUGAAACACUGCCCAGACACCUACGGGUGGCUGCAGUCGAGAAUCUUCGGCAAUGGGCGAAAGCCUGACCGAGCGAUGCCGCGUGCGGGAUGAAGGCCUUCGGGUUGUAAACCGCUGUCAGUUGGGAGGAAGGCUUCGUGAAGAGCGAAGUUUGACCUAUCUUCAGAGGAAGUCCGGGCUAAGUUCGUGCCAGCAGCCGCGGUAACACGAACCGGACAAACGUUAUUCGGAAUUAUUGGGCUUAAAGGGUGCGUAGGCGGCUUCGUAGGUGGGGUGUGAAAUCCCUCGGCUCAACCGAGGAACUGCGCCCCAAACCACGAGGCUAGAGGGAGACAGAGGUAAGCGGAACUGAUGGUGGAGCGGUGAAAUGCGUUGAUAUCAUCAGGAACACCAGUGGCGAAGGCGGCUUACUGGGUCUCUUCUGACGCUGAGGCACGAAAGCUAGGGUAGCGAACGGGAUUAGAUACCCCGGUAGUCCUAGCUGUAAA
rnacentral:rRNA from 1 species